CCCCUACGGGAGGCAGCAGUGGGGAAUAUUGCGCAAUGGGCGAAAGCCUGACGCAGCGACGCCGCGUGAGGGAAGAAGGCCUUCGGGUCGUAAACCUCUGUCUAGAGGGAAGAAACCAUAGGGGUCAAACAGGCCUCUGUGCUGACGGUACCUCUGAAGGAAGCACCGGCUAACUCCGUGCCAGCAGCCGCGGUAAUACGGAGGGUGCAAGCGUUAAUCGGAAUCACUGGGCGUAAAGCGCACGUAGGCGGUGCCGUAAGUCGGAUGUGAAAGCCCUCGGCCUAACCGAGGAACUGCAUUCGAUACUGCGGUGCUUGAGUGCCGGAGAGGGUGGCGGAAUUCCAGGUGUAGGAGUGAAAUCCGUAGAUAUCUGGAGGAACACCGGUGGCGAAGGCGGCCACCUGGUCGGCAACUGACGCUGAGGUGCGAAAGCGUGGGGAUCAAACAGGAUUAGAUACCCUGGUAGUC
rnacentral:rRNA from 1 species